CUGCACAACUCUCACCAACCCCUACUUUUUUGCACUUUCCAUUGUUUUUUCAUCUUGAGGAGCGCUUCUGCAUUGCGAGAAGGUCAAAUAAUGCGUAAUUUGUGUAAAUUAUCCUUGGAUCGAGGGUUGUAGCCGAAGCACAUGCCGUUUUUUUCCUUCCUGCAACGUGACUCCGGGCUGACUUCGCCAGUUUCGACAACUUUUCGCACCAACGUGGCUGUCUGCUAAUUAUUGAGACGAGUGACACCAGUGCAGGAGGAGAGAGUCAACAGUGGUGGCGAACGCAGAGGGAUGACAAAGAGGCGGUUGUCAUAACAGUGCCAACAGAUUCAUGGCACUGUCAGCCAUUGUCCUUCACUCCCAGUCUGUGAGAGCUUCAUCACUCUCACUAAAAAGUCGCCACCACUGGCAGGGACAAACAGGCUCUCCCAUCCAGAAAUGACUCAAAGCUUUCAAUCUACCAGUUGAGUAACAGCCCACAGCAGAACCAACUGGCGCGAGUGCGAGCUGUGACGCAGAAGGAAAGCGCUGGUGUUCCCACUGUUUGUGCGCCGAGCCUACUCAUGCAAGAGCGAUGCAGGCUGGUCAUGUACUGUAUACCAGCUGGUGGAGCCAUACCAGUCAAGGUUGUGAUGUCCUAGAACACACGGAUCCGGAUCCUUGGCUCAGGGGUGAUGGGCACAGGGGUGAUGGGCACAGGGUUGAUGGGCACAGGGGUGCGCAGCCGAAAGUUUGGCCUAUUUGGCAAGUCUGGCGCAGAAUAGCAAGCACUGAAUGUGGGGGUCUUUGUUUUCCUCCUCUCCCAGGAUGGUAUCCAGAGGCCCUGGUGAUAUUGUGCACUCACAGGAGGUGUCAGUUUACUCAGGAGCCAAAAGACGAAGAAAGCCACGAGCACAUUCAUGUUUUACUGCCAUAGCUCAUGUGGGUUGGGCAGGCAUGUGCGUCAGGUUCAGAGGAAGCAAUAGUGAGAGGACAGUACGUUCUCUUAGCAACACCACCACCACUGCAUCCACCUUUCAGUUUCACCUCCCACACCCUCGCCUUCACCCCCGAUCUGUGUUUUUUACAGUCCCAUCAAAUAUUGACUCUUCCCUUGGAAGUGACAGAGCCUGCUGACAGGUCAGGUUUUAAAAUACAAGCGAGGGGGUGACAUGAAAUCUUAAGUGUUACAAUGGCCAUCUCCCAGCUAAUGACACAGCUUUGCUGUAAGGUGUCCAUCUGCUCUGUGAAGAAAAAAAAAGAGAAUUUUCAUGAAGCAGGUAUAUUUUCAAAAUAGGUAAAUGACUAAAUUGUAUGCUUGUUUGGCUCAGUCAUAGAAACAAAUUUGAGUUUCCUGACAUGCGUCAGUGUUGCAUGUGUGUGUGUGUGGUGGUGGUGGUGGGGGGGGGGGGUCAGCCACUUACUGACCCAAUUCGCCUUCCUUGCACAGAGGAGAAAGUAGCAUUCAAGGGUUUCAUUAAUGUAAAUAUAAAUAAGUCAGUAAAAUUAUACAUCGUUGUUUUAGUUAAGUUUCAUAUCCUUUUUAGGCAGCAUGUGUGUAUGUGUGUUGUGCGCAUGUGUGUGUGCAUAUGUGUGUGUGUCUGACUGGGGUAUGCUAAGGCCUUCCUCUUAAUCUUAUUGGCCGGUUGGUGUCACCUUCGUAUCAGACCAGAGCACAACAACAAAACGCAGAAAAUGUUUCACUACGUCCCCCGACUCUGUGCUUGUGUGUGUGUGUGUGUGUCUACUCUGUGCUUGUGUAUGUGCGUGUGUGUGUGUCUACUC